AUGGACAGGAACCGAAGGAAAAAAGAAGAGAAAGUGGCCGGGUCUCGCGCGGCGCGGUGGUGUAAGCCGUCGCCGGCGGCCGGCAAGGUGCCUCGUGCGGAUGCCGGACGGCUAGAGAGGAUCGCGGGUGCGAAGUGGAUCACAGGAGGGCUCGACCUCGCUGCUCUCUCUCUGCCACAGGAGAGAGAAGAGGGAGAAAAGCAGAGGGAGAGGAAGGAGAGGCUCGCGGGCGCACUGGCAUCCGCCGCCGUUGCUAGCGGCCGGGGCAGAACCCCUCUCUGCGUCGCCCGCGAGAUCCCGACGAGAGAACAGCGUGGCUAG
rnacentral:rRNA from 1 species